GAUGAACGCUGGCGGCGUGCCUAAUACAUGCAAGUCGAGCGAACAGACGAGGAGCUUGCUCCUCUGACGUUAGCGGCGGACGGGUGAGUAACACGUGGAUAACCUACCUAUAAUACUGGGAUAACUUCGGGAAACCGCAUCUAAUACUGGAUAAUAUAUUGUACCGCAUGGUUCAGUAGUGAAAGACAGUUUUGCCGUCACUUAUAGAUGGAUCCGCUCCGCAUUAGCUAGUUGGUAAGGUAACGGCCUACCAAGGCGACGAUCCGUAGCCGACCUGAGAGGGUGAUCAGCCACACUGGAACUGAGACACGGUCCAGACUCCUACGGGAGGCAGCAGUAGGGAAUCUUCCGCAAUGGGCGAAAGCCUGACGCAGCAACGCCGCGUGAGUGAUGAAGGUCUUCGGAUCGUAAAACUCUUUUAUUAGGGAAGAACAAAUGUGUAAGUAACUAUGCACGUCUUGACGGUACCUAAUCAGAAAGCCACGGCUAACUACGUG
rnacentral:rRNA from 1 species